CAUCUGUUGAAAAUUAUCAAUUUUACGUAAUAAGAUAUUAUAUUAAUUAUAUGAUGAUUAUAGUUACUGUGUAAUUUGUUGAUAACGCCUUGAUUACCAGCCAGCACAGUUCCACUUCUCUCAUAUACUGAGCCUGCAAUUUGAAACAAGUCCUCAAGGUGCUCAGUUAGAAUCCCAUAUGCAAUGCUCUAAACAUUUAUAAAUUUAUAUUAGCAGCUAACAACUGGACAUAUUUAUAAAUUUUACUUUUUCUUUUUCAAAUUCUGAAUUUUCUUCAUGCUGUAGGUCUUCGUAAUUGCACCUUGCCAACAGAUGGGUUUGCAGGGCCGAGAGCAACUCACUAACGUGAGACUUCGAAAGCUCUUCUUUUGCGUAAUCAAAUUCUGUUCCGCUCUCUACUUCAUCCAAACAACCAUCCUUUCAAGAUAAAAAUUACAAUAACAUUAAUGGAAAUACUAUAUCUCUAAAUUACAGUUUGGUAGCUCAAAUUUUUUAACAGCGUCUUGAUCAAUUUUUUUGUCAAAUGCAUAUCUGACGGGUCAAGUGUAUCCUCUGAUUUGUCAAUGUUGCAUCCCAGUAAUGCGGAGACAUGCAAAUGGUCCUCAAGACUUGCAAGAACGAUGUUGAGCAGAAGUUUCUAAAAAUAAUCAAUGGUGUACUUAACUUAAUUUGACUAAAUUAAUGACCCGCAAUACCUGGCCCUUAGAGAGUUUGUGGCUUUGCGGUAGCAAAGUUAAGAGAAGGUCGACUCUCUCCUUUAGCGGAGGUAACAGCAUUGGAGCCCCAAUGGACAAAGUUUCUUGCACAGCCUGUUGAACAGAAUUGGGGGCAGGCAUGUCUACAAGUUUGAAAAGAAGCUGCCGUAAGGGUUGAGCCUGCAUGCCCAAAACCGAAGACCCAAGUCCUCCAGCCAGAGAAAGGGACAGAGAGAAAAAGGUUUCCAGUAAAUUGUUUCACGAAGAAAUUUUACAUGACCGAUCGCCUAACUAUUCGAGGCAUCAUGUGACAGGAUAGGCGACAGAUAUUUGAAAUCGGAAGGUUGUAAAGUCGACGCAGAACGGGCGAUGCCAAGUGACAACUUGCCGACCUGAGGGAAGAGCAGUCCAAGCAACACUGUGUGAAGUUCCAGCUGAAAUUUGGUGGACUGGAAUAGACUCCAACCCAAGCACUUUUCGGGGACGAGUUAUUGGAGAUGAGGAGUGUCCAAGUCCGCACUGCCCAGUUGCAUUGU